UUAUUUUCGCUCUCUAUCUGGAAUAACAGGACGUGCACGGACUUUUCGAUCACAGAACUCUCACUGACCUCCCCACUCUGCGUGACCGUGACUCACACGUGCAACCCGAGACACAAACCACUAUCAGUGCUUCUAAAACUUUGCGAGAGAGAAAUCGAGCUUUUUUAUUUGAAAUUAAACGGAAAUUGGUGAAAAUGGAACUGAAGUGUAAAAAUUGUCGACAAAUUGUGAUAAAAAUACAAGAGAGUCAAAUAAAAGAUGCUCAUUUGAGGAAGAGGACAAUUGAAGAGAUUAAAUCAACAAAUUGCUCAACUGUUGCAGAAGAUAACUUAUUUUUGGACGAAGAAGACCUUCCAGAGUGGAUUACAGAGGAAUUCCAGGCAUCUCAGUGGACAAAGGGGAAGCUGAAGUGUCGCAAUUGCUCCUCAACAGUUGGCUCAUAUAAUUUUCUCGGGGGUGGAAAAUGUGCAUGUGGAAUGUCCCUCAUCCCUCAGAUCCACUUAAUAAAGAGCAAAAUUGACAUACCAUUGCAAAUCGUAUGAAAAAUGUAUAUAGUUUUUUUUAUUUGUGAAGCAAAGAAUUACAAAACUAAUUUUAUAUCCUA